AGAGCGAACGCUGGCGGCAGGCUUAACACAUGCAAGUCGAACGCGUGUAGCAAUACACGAGUGGCGCACGGGUGAGUAACGCGUGGGCAUCUGCCUCAUGGUUCGGAAUAACCCCGGGAAACUGGGGCUAAUACCGGAUGGUACCUUCGGGUUAAAGAUUUAUCGCCAUGAGAUGAGCCCGCGUCCGAUUAGCUAGUUGGUGAGGUAACGGCUCACCAAGGCGACGAUCGGUAGCUGGUCUGAGAGGACGAUCAGCCACACUGGGACUGAGACACGGCCCAGACUCCUACGGGAGGCAGCAGUGAGGAAUUUUCCGCAAUGGGGGAAACCCUGACGGAGCGACGCCGCGUGUGGGAAGAAGGCCUUCGGGUCGUAAACCACUGUCGAGGGGACGAUAUUGACGGUACCCUGGAGGAAGCCCCGGCUAACUACGUGCCAGCAGCCGC
rnacentral:rRNA from 1 species